UAAGCCCGGGAAACUGGGUCUAAUACCGGAUAGGAACGCCCAUCGCAUGAUGGGUGUUGGAAAGAUUUUUCGGUCAUGGAUGGACUCGCGGCCUAUCAGCUUGUUGGUGAGGUAAUGGCUCACCAAGGCGACGACGGGUAGCCGGCCUGAGAGGGUGACCGGCCACACUGGGACUGAGACACGGCCCAGACUCCUACGGGAGGCAGCAGUGGGGAAUAUUGCACAAUGGGCGAAAGCCUGAUGCAGCGACGCCGCGUGAGGGAUGACGGCCUUCGGGUUGUAAACCUCUUUCAGUAGGGAAGAAGCGAAAGUGACGGUACCUGCAGAAGAAGCACCGGCUAACUACGUGCCAGCAGCCGCGGUAAUACGUAGGGUGCGAGCGUUAUCCGGAAUUAUUGGGCGUAAAGAGCUCGUAGGCGGUUUGUCACGUCUGUCGUGAAAGUCCGGGGCUUAACCCCGGAUCUGCGGUGGGUACGGGCAGACUAGAGUGCAGUAGGGGAGACUGGAAUUCCUGGUGUAGCGGUGGAAUGCGCAGAUAUCAGGAGGAACACCGAUGGCGAAGGCAGGUCUCUGGGCUGUAACUGACGCUGAGGAGCGAAAGCAUGGGGGAGCGAACAGGAUUAGAUACCCCUGGGUAGUCCAUGCCGUAAACGUUGGGGCAC
rnacentral:rRNA from 1 species